GGGUUUUUUAUUUUAUACUUCAAAUCUUGAAUUUAUUUUUUAUGUUUUUUAAAUGUUUAUUUUUUUGAGUGUUUGAUUUAAAAAAAUAAAAUAGAUAUUGACAUGGAUUAAACAAAGAUAUAUAUUAUUCUAUGUUGCAUAAACAAAUUGGCAAAGUAG
rnacentral:misc_RNA from 1 species